CUGUGAAGCAGAAUGCCUGAUGCCCUUCAGUGCUGGGUAUCUGCUGGCUGUGUGGAUCAGUUAGUGAAGAGGUGGCCUUGCUCCUCCUGCUGAGCCUCUUCAGCCUUUGUCCACACUGUGGGGUGUGCCACGUCAGAGCCGCUCCUGUGCUGUCCUCUGAAGGGGAUGUAUCAGCCACGUCAGGGAAUCAGAGCCAGUGGGAACCACCCUGCACCCUUUUUUGCCAUCUGACCGGACUGUAGAUGAUGAUGGUCAGGGAAAUGGUGGCAAAGUCACAGGGUGGAAGAUAAACUGAAACAAAAUGAAACAAAGACCACAGGAUGCCCAUCACUUGGAGGGGAAGCUCUGGCUUUGAACUGUUGCAAGAGAAAUAAGGAGAACAUCUCUGGUAACCUCAAUGACUGAAGACCGUGUCUUAUGUUAAAAGACUAGAAGAACUACUCACACUAUGCCAGCCAGCUCUGGCUUUGGUUCCCAUGACAAUCUACAAAAUGUCUUCUCCUCUUCUGAUUGCUGCUGAACUGAAAUGUGAUUGGUGCCUGGGCCAUUGGAAGUUGGCUAACUGGGGCCAUGACAUCAUUGGGACCAAAAGUGCAAUCGGUUCACCAAAGGUGAUGAUCCAGCCCAGUGGACCAGGGAUAUUAGAAGAGUCCUGUGGGAGGCAACAGGUAAAUGUCUUGACAGUAGCAGAGCUGUGGCCUUGUUUAAUUCUUAUUAAAGACUGAACAAAGAGAUCACAGUCUGGGAGGGGCAGGGAGAUUCUGGUUUCCAGAAGGCUAGAACCAGCAGGACAACAAAACUAGCUUUAGAAAUCAAACAUGCUGGUUGAAAACCAAGACAGAUUACUGGAAACCCAGGAAAAGGUCAAUCAACUGUUCUCAGAGUUGUGUUGGUCCUGAGUCACAGGCUCACCAGUCCUCUCCAGGGAAGAAGAGCCUCACUUAGGGCUGAAGCCACAGGUAAGGAUUACAAGCUCCAAAACAGAAAGCUUCAAGCAUCAUCAGUGUCGGCAGGUCAUAUUAUCAACAUUCUUUGGGGAAUGAAAUUCCCACUGCAAAAAUUACAACUUUUGGUUAAAACAACAUGUAAGGGCAAUAUUAAAAUUCAAUCAUUUCCCAAGAGAAGUAAUUAAUGUCUGUACAUCUGCAUAUUAGAAUACUUACUUUGAAAGGAAUGAGAAUUUCUUUGCCUGAAGUCUAGACUAUAAAGUGUGGGAUAGAACUUAUCAAACCUGUUUAGCUUUACUAAAACUCUCAAUUUUAAUCCGUGUUUUACUCAAUCAAUCUAUUGUCAUCUCCAAGUCUACGCCACAAUCUCCAUAAUAAUUUGCUGAAGGGCACAGAGUUAGGAAGCGGCUAUGGAAAGCUGUCCCUUCUUGGGUGGAUUAAGUAAAUAUCCUGCCCUGUCUGUGUCAAGUCUGGCAUGUGACUGUAUGCUCAGUGCUGUGGAACACGGCCCUCUCAGCGUGACAGCUGCUGCCAUCUGUGUCAUGCAGCUGUGACCACUCUCAAGGGACCCUCAUCAUCAGAUCCGCUGGUGUGCCCCCCUCCUAGACCCCUAGGAGGUUUCAGACACUUCUUUCUGAUCUCCCUCCAAGCUCUGUGUGAUCCUGCCUCAACCACACAUGGUACUGGGUGACAGCACACAAGACGAACUGAAGGGGUGCCUUCCUUCAUCUUUGCAGCUGUGGGAAGCUGUCAUCCAUGCCCGGGUGAGACGUUCCUGUGGUGCAGUUGCUUCUGGGUUAACCACUCUCCUGGAACUCCUAACCCAGCAAACCCAUUGGCUUACUGUACUAGACUUUGGGGUAAUCCACAUUUUAGUCUGUCUUUGGGGUCUGGAGACAUUUGUUCAUAUUUUUCAAGGGAAAGUUCUAUAAAAUGUGAAUGCAAUGCUGUGAACAGAAACUUUAAAGGCCAAGAAAUCAUUCCAAAUCUUCCACAAGAUCAGUUGCUCAGGUAAAGGUUGCUGUUCAGCAUGGGUUUUGAGAUGGAGGCCACGUGAAACAGAAUUCCCACAGGGUUAGGUUGAUACAUAGCCUGAGUGAGGAGUAAGUUUUGUUGUUACGAGCCACUGAGGUUGGGUUCUUUAUUACGGUAGCCUAAUCCUGAAGCCAUACCUCCCCUUAAUACACUGCCACAGAGAGAAAGCAUGAGAAAGCUGGAGGAGAGCAUGGCUAGCCCGAGGAGCCACGCCCAUUUGAUGGCUGUGAUGUAAACUGCAAAGCAGUGCUGGCUUCCCUAGGCAGUGCUGAGCCAGGGUAAGAAGAAGCAAGUGAUGACAGAUGAAUCUUUGCAUUCCCCAGUGUCCUCUCUAGCUUGGCUUAGCAGCACCCAGAACUCAGCUGGACUGUGAGCAUUGUGCCAGCCUGGCUUUCCAGCUUCCUACUCACCAUGAAGUAACUGGAGAACACUUCCCUUUGGAAGGAGAACUUCCCAGAUUCUUUUAUUAAGACUCAGACAACAAUGACAACAAAAACCUGGUGUUUUGAUGAAAAUGAGGCCAGACCCUCAGGUCAAAUAUAACUUUGCUAUUUAGGUUGAUUGGUUAGGCUGGAAAAACAGCCAGCUAGCACACAAACCAUAAGUACACCUCUGGCUGUUUCAGAGUCAGUGACUUCUUCUUUCUUUGGUUUACCCCAGGAUCCAUGCCACGCAGGAACACCCACAGCCUAGAGAAUUGUCCCUGAAGGGUCUCAGCCAGCUUCCUUUCUGAGGUUCAGUCAGUUCGGUGGCAGCUGAGGUGGGCAGUGCGUUCUGCUGUGGUUGGUAGCUAACAGCAUGGACUGUAGCUCCUGGAUUCAGGGCGGGGAAACAGCUUGGGACCUGCAAACAACCAAGUUCAUCAUCCGUUUGCUUUGAAGCAUCUUUGAGCUGCUGUUUGGCCCAAGUAAAGGGUCAUCUGGGGAACCUGGUUAUUGGCGCUUGAGUUCUUGCUUCUCUGUGUACAGUCUUGGAAUUCAGAGUACUCUCUUGUUCUAUUUUACAGUAUAUCUUUCUUGAGAAACUUACAAAAUGGACAUUGCACAAGAAGAAAGCCCAAGGUUGACACAAAUCAUAGUCCAUGUGUAAAGAAGCGAAUGGCUGCUGAGAUAGCCUUUGUUUCAUUGACGUGCAUUAACUCCUUCUGGAGUUCUGAAGGUCUCCCUUGUGCCAAGGUCCUCCUCUAUUAUCUGAGUGAAUAAAAGCAUCUAUCUCUUCAUUCUAGCAGGGCAACUGAUGAUGGUGGUAGAUUUGGCCAGCUGAGAAUUAGGAUCUCAAGAGCCAGUCAGGAAGAAAACGAUCAUAUUCUGGAAGUAGCUGAUGCAGUUUCAAGGCAGUUGUGUUGUUCUCCAUUUUAUUUCUUAGGGGGAUUUAUGACAUCAGAAAUACUCUUCCAUGCAUUGCUGAUCAAUUUCUGUAGAGUUGCCCUAUAGGGACCCCUAACCUAGCAGGUGCCAGAAUGGGUUCAUUGCUGUGCUUUGUGGGUCUGGAGGGUUACAGACUAAGUUGUUUUGGUGUGGUGCUUUGCAGUGGAUCACAUACUGUUUGACCUGUAAGAAUGUCAAAAUGGAAGAAGCAGAAGAAGAAGAAGAGAAGCUGGGGGAAAGCAAGCAAGAAAAACAAAGGCCAGUGUGUUAAAAUAGUAGCUAAGACUGAGCACCAUGGUGUAGAUGUGGGGGUUGCCUUCAUUAAUAUGUCUUAAGUCCCCCAAAUGACCCAUGCACAGGAGAGGGCUCUCAGCUCAGUAUUUACCACACAGACUGAGAAAGGGAUAAUUCAUAAUGUCUACCCCUAGACAGGGAGUUCUGCAUUUUAUAAAGUCUCACCUAUUCUUAUCAUUAAGCAAUUGGUAUCAAAUAAAACAUUCCCAGUCAUCCAACUUUCUCUUCUCUAGACAAAUUUGAGCAACAUGGGGAUAACAUGUUUCCAAUGCAUUGCUUAAAAUAGUGGGUUGAUUUGGAGUCAUGUUUCCAAUACUAUAACUUGGUGAAAUAAUUUCACCCCAGAGAGGAUGACAGUACCUAUAUCAAUUACUUACCUGUUGCUCUGAUAAAAUCUUGAGACCAAAAGCAACUUACAAAAGAAAGAGUUAUUUGCCUUACAGUUCUAGAGGGAAAGAGUUCGUCAUGGUGGGGUGGCACAGCAGGAAGUGUCAGGAGCAGCGGACCUUCAAGUGAAAACAGGAAGUAGGGAGCAAACCAGAAGUGGAGUAAGGCUAAAAAUUCUCCAAGCCCACUCCUAGUGAUGUACUCCUCUGUCAAGGCCAUACCUUCUUUUCCUUUUAAUUAAGAUUUUUUUAAAAAAAUU